AUUGAACGCUGGCGGCAGGCCUAACACAUGUAAGUCGAGCGAGCGGCGGACGGGUGAGUAAUGUCUGGGAAACUGCCUGAUGGAGGGGGAUAACUAAUGGAACAGGUAGCUAAUACCGCAUACCAUCAGAUGUGCACAGAUGGGCUUAGCUAGUAGGUGGGGUAAUGGCUCACCUAGGCGACGAUCCCGCGAUGGUCUGAGAGGAUGACCAGACACACUGGAACGGAGACACGGUCCAGACGCCUACGGGAGGCAGCGUUGGGGAAUAGGGCACAAUGGGCGCAAGCCUGAUGCACCCAUGCCGCGUGUGUGAAGAAGGCCUUCGGGUUGUAAAGCACUUUCAGCGGGGAGGCGGUACCCGCAGAAGAAGCACCGGCUAACUCCGUGCCAGCAGCCGCGGUAAUAC
rnacentral:rRNA from 1 species